UGAUUUACUUGCCGCCUAAUUAGUGAAUGAUAGAGACAGGAUUCAAAUCCAGGAUGUCUAGCUCCAGAGCUCCUACUCUUAGCCAUGAAAGAGACAAAGCUGGUAGGAAGGAGGUCUUCUCUACCAAGCUGAAUAAAACUGUUUAUCCAGGGGGAAAGAAAAACAUUCCAAAGACAAACAGGUCUAAAUCUAUUACAUUGGAAUUUUUUAAUUUCUAUUUUAGCUGAAGAUUUUAUCCCUUAUGUAAAGGAGCAAAUUGAAGAUGAUGUAGUUAUAUUGGUGGUGGAUUAGCUCCUUGAUGCCAUUGAGGUUGCAACCCAGUUCUUGAAGGAAUUAAUUAAAACAACUGUCUUACAAAUUGAGGACAUCCUGUACAACUUGUCUGACAAACUGAGAUCCAGAAAAGUUCACCUGUCCUUUUGCCAAUCGCCAAACCAACCCUAUUCAUCUCAAGAGGCUUGUAGGUGUUUUCAAAAUCUGGAUUUAGGAAAUAAAAUUCCUUCUUGGAGGAAUUUCACGUUCUUCCUCUGUGCCUUUGAGAUGUAAGCAUUCUUCCUGGGUUCUCUCAGACUUGAGGGCCAUCUCUUUGAAAUGCAAACUUCAGGGAGGUUUGACUACUUAAGAAAACUCAAUCUUCUCAAUUUUAAAGCCACUAAGGUUUCUUAUAACUACGUAACUUUCUGUAUUUGCCUUUGAAGUCUUUAAAUGGUAUGCUGUGUUCUCUCAAAAGUUUUAAAUGCAUGUGGGCAGCCAGUGGCCGGUGACAUAUGAUCUGCCUCCCAUCAAAAUGAAAAGAGAAUAGAAAAAUAUAACAGUUCUAAAAACACAAGCCUGAAAUCCCCUCUUGUGAAAACUGUUCUGAGGCCUAAAGAGGCAAUGGUAACGACAGCCAUACUGAGACUAAUAUUUUUGACCAAAGUCCUUAAAUGGUCAUGAGGAUAAUCAAAAGGGGGAACUGUUGAAAGAAAUUUCUAGGCCCAAAUUGGAAAUGCUCAUGCCUAGGGUGCCAUAUCAGCAAACUGAAAUUUAGGUAUUUCGUGUUCUUUUCAAUGUUCCACUUAACCGGAAACUGUAUUCCCAGUUAACCCAUCCCCAAGUGCCAAACCGACUCUGGGCUUUUUCACCCCAAGCAAGGCUGGUUUUGUAGCCCCUGCCAAUUAGAUAUUUUCUAUUUUUCACUUUCUUGUGCUUUAUUCUUUAUCCCAUGAAAGCUUCUUUCUUAAGCCUUAAGCCCCAUUUUGCAGUUCUUCAAAAGGAAGCUGUCCACUUCAUGAAGUGUUAGUUUGUAUCUCUUAAAUUGACUGCUUGAAUAAGAGUAUUAACUAUUGUAAAACUAAACCCUUGCUAUCUUAACUUUAGUGAAAUGGCUUCUUAGCAAAGUCUGUCAGUCAUAGAACUAAUUCCUAAUGAUUUAUGAAGAAACAUACAUUUUUGUUGAAAGAAUAUUGACUGGCUCUCAGAAUUAAUGAUGGGAUAGAAGGGUUAGACUCAAAAAAUAGUCAUGCACCAAAGGAGACUCAGAAGCCAGGAUCACAGCUGCACAUAUGCCAUAGCAAGUGGCUGAUGAUGGAUAUCUGAUGAUGGAGACUGGAGACUGGUGUUGUCAUCUCUGCCCCUACCAGUAUUGGUCUUUAUUCCUCCAAUGUCUCUUCAUCCAGAUUCUGGUUUUCUAUCAUGGUCACCACAUGCCUGAUUAAUUUUCUCUUGUUCUUAUAGUAUACACUUAAUGAUUGUCUGUCUCAGACUUGUCUAGCUCAAUCAUAGGCAAAUGCCUAAGCUGCCAAGUGGGCAGGGAAAGUGAGAGCAGUGCUAUACAGCUUUUCUGCUACAAUGGUCAAUUCUUCUAAAACUGGGUGAGGGGUCAGGUAUUGGGUUGGAGUGAAAGUCAUCCGUCUUGGUUGACUUUUGUGAAGAGGAGAAUUCCAGGUAAAUGUGUCAGUUUGUCAUCCUCACAAUGACUCCUCAUUCAACAACAUAGUAUACAGGGGCCGUGGCACCUUAUAUAAGAAAUCGAUUUUCAUGUGCCUUUUUCUAGCUCCUGUCAAAAGUUCAGCUUAAAGAAGUGAUGUAAAGGAAAUUUUCUAAUUUAUUCUGAAGUUUAAUCCUCCUCCAUAUAAUCUAAAUUCGACCUUUGAGAUCAGUUUAUUCUUUGAUAAUAUACACAUUUUUAUGGUAUUCAUUAUUAUAUUGCAUAAAUAGGCAUUAGUUUUGUCUUCAUAAAACCAUGAUAAUAGCAUCGUGUUUGUUUUCUGGCCUUUACUUUUGUGUCACAAAAUUUUGUGAAAAUUAUGAUGUAUAUUUACUUCUGUAUUGGUUGUAAAAAUAGUGUUUAAGAAUUUUUCAUGACAUCGAUUUUAAGAUUUAUUUAAAUUUUUGUGGGCUUAACUAAUUCAAUGUGAGAAAACUAUUAAUUUCAUCUAAGGAAUAGGUAUCAUACCUCACUUUAAAUAAUGUAUGUGAGAAAGCUGAAAUCUGAUAUAAAGAACAAAAAUAUUACUGUUUGUAUGGUUUCUAACCCCUUGUCAUUAUUUUAACCAAACUCCAAAUAUGCAUAAGUUUACUCAAGAAAUUGAUAUAAAUUGUGAUGUGUGUAUGUAUUCAUCAUGAACCACUAAAAUCCUCUAAAGAUCUGACCAUUCAAAAAGAUACCUUAAAUGUUCAGAUAAAAUAUGUAUAAAACAUCAAUUAAUAAACAGUGGAAUUCAUUUUCUGUACAGAAAAUAAGUAGGCUUUGCAAUGUUAACUUAAAAUUG